rnacentral:snRNA from 1 species
AUGACCUUACUGUGACAUUUCUCUCCCUAUUGAUUGCCCACGAUUAGUUUGUCUGAUCAAGCGGGCUAGGUGAGGGUCCCUUUACUCCCUCACUUUUUGCACACCCCUUCUGAAGCUGCAUGCUUGAUUGACAAGGACAGGCAGAUGGAGGGGAGCUAUUUUUUGGACAAGAGUAUACUUUUAACUGUGCUCUUCCACUAGAACCUCUAAACAAGCUCUCAAGGAGAGAUGGGAACAUGAAUCCCAGGGCAGAAAGCCCAAGGCCCCAAGUCAAUCACUGAGGUUUCACUU